rnacentral:rRNA from 1 species
GACGAACGCUGGCGGCAUGCCUAAUACAUGCAAGUCGAGCGGAGUUGAUGGAAAGCUUGCUUUCCUGAUACUUAGCGGCGGACGAGUGAGUAACACGUAGGCAACCUGCCCUCAAGCUUGGGACAACUACCGGAAACGGUAGCUAAUACCGAAUACUUGUUUUCUUCGCAUGAAGAGAACUGGAAAGACGGAGCAAUCUGUCACUUGGGCAUGGGCCGGCGGCGCAUGAGCUAGUUGGUGAGGUAACGGCUCACCAAGGCGACGAUGCGUAGCCUACCUGAGAGGGUGAUCGGCCACACUGGGAAUGAGACACGGCCCAGACUCCUACGGGAGGCAGCAGUAGGGAAUCUUCCGCAAUGGGCGAAAGCCUGACGGCGCAAUGCCGCGUGAGUGAUGAAGGUUUUCGGAUCGUAAAGCUCUGUUGCCAGGGAAGAACGCUUGGGAGAGUAACUGCUCCCAAGGUGACGGUACCUGAGAAGAAAGCCCCGGCUAACUACGUGCCAGCAGCCGCCGUAA